rnacentral:rRNA from 1 species
UGGGGAAUAUUGCACAAUGGGCGCAAGCCUGAUGCAGCGACGCCGCGUGAGGGAUGACGGCCUUCGGGUUGUAAACCUCUUUCAGCAGGGAAGAAGCGAAAGUGACGGUACCUGCAGAAGAAGCGCCGGCUAACUACGUGCCAGCAGCCGCGGUAAUACGUAGGGCGCAAGCGUUGUCCGGAAUUAUUGGGCGUAAAGAGCUCGUAGGCGGUUUGUCGCGUCUGCUGUGAAAACGCGAGGCUCAACCUCGCGCCUGCAGUGGGUACGGGCAGACUAGAGUGCGGUAGGGGAGACUGGAAUUCCUGGUGUAGCGGUGGAAUGCGCAGAUAUCAGGAGGAACACCUGAGGCGAAGGCGGGUUGCUGAGCCGACACUGACGCUGAUGCGCGAAAGCCAGGGGAGCAAACG